rnacentral:rRNA from 1 species
CGGACGGGUGAGUAAUGUCUGGGAAACUGCCCGAUGGAGGGGGAUAACUACUGGAAACGGUAGCUAAUACCGCAUAACGUCGCAAGACCAAAGAGGGGGACCUUCGGGCCUCUUGCCAUCGGAUGUGCCCAGAUGGGAUUAGCUAGUAGGUGGGGUAACGGCUCACCUAGGCGACGAUCCCUAGCUGGUCUGAGAGGAUGAUCAGCCACACUGGAACUGAGACACGGUCCAG